UUAUAGGUGGGGCUACACACGUCAUACAAUGGCCGGUACAGAGGGUAGCCAACCCGCGAGGGGGAGCCAAUCCCACAAAGCCGGUCGUAGUCCGGAUCGCAGUCUGCAACUCGACUGCGUGAAGUCGGAAUCGCUAGUAAUCGCGGAUCAGCAUGUCGCGGUGAAUACGUUCCCGGGUCCUU
rnacentral:rRNA from 1 species